rnacentral:rRNA from 1 species
GAUGAACGCUGGCGGCGUGCCUAAUACAUGCAAGUCGAGCGAACAGAUAAGGAGCUUGCUCCUUUGACGUUAGCGGCGGACGGGUGAGUAACACGUGGAUAACCUACCUAUAAGACUGGGAUAACUUCGGGAAACCGGAGCUAAUACCGGAUAACAUAUUGAACCGCAUGGUUCAAUAGUGGAAGGCGGCUUUGCUGUCACUUAUAGAUGGAUCCGCGCCGUAUUAGCUAGUUGGUAAGGUAACGGCUUACCAAGGCAACGAUACGUAGCCGACCUGAGAGGGUGAUCGGCCACACUGGAACUGAGACACGGUCCAGACUCCUACGGGAGGCAGCAGUAGGGAAUCUUCCGCAAUGGGCGAAAGCCUGACGGAGCAACGCCGCGUGAGUGAUGAAGGUCUUCGGAUCGUAAAACUCUGUUAUCAGGGAAGAACAAAUGUGUAAGUAACUGUGCACAUCUUGACGGUACCUGAUCAGAAAGCCACGGCUAACUACGUGCCAGCAGCCGCGGUAAUACGUAGGUGGCAAGCGUUAUCCGGAAUUAUUGGGCGUAAAGCGCGCGUAGGCGGUUUUUUAGUCUGAUGUGAAAGCCCACGGCUCAACCGUGGAGGGUCAUUGGAAACUGGAAAACUUGAGUGCAGAAGAGGAAAGUGGAAUUCCAUGUGUAGCGGUGAAAUGCGCAGAGAUAUGGAGGAACACCAGUGGCGAAGGCGACUUUCUGGUCUGUAACUGACGCUGAUGUGCGAAAGCGUGGGGAUCAAACAGGAUUAGAUACCCUGGUAGUCCACGCCGUAAACGAUGAGUGCUAAGUGUUAGGGGGUUUCCGCCCCUUAGUGCUGCAGCUAACGCAUUAAGCACUCCGCCUGGGGAGUACGACCGCAGGGUUGAAACUCAAAGGAAUUGACGGGGACCCGCACAAGCGGUGGAGCAUGUGGUUUAAUUCGAAGCAACGCGAAGAACCUUACCAAAUCUUGACAUCCUUUGACCGCUCUAGAGAUAGAGUUUUCCCCUUCGGGGGACAAAGUGGCAGGUGGUGCAUGGUUGUCGUCAGCUCGUGUCGUGAGAUGUUGGGUUAAGUCCCGCAACGAGCGCAACCCUUAAGCUUAGUUGCCAUCAUUAAGUUGGGCACUCUAAGUUGACUGCCGGUGACAAACCGGAGGAAGGUGGGGAUGACGUCAAAUCAUCAUGCCCCUUAUGAUUUGGGCUACACACGUGCUACAAUGGACAAUACAAAGGGCAGCUAAACCGCGAGGUCAAGCAAAUCCCAUAAAGUUGUUCUCAGUUCGGAUUGUAGUCUGCAACUCGACUACAUGAAGCUGGAAUCGCUAGUAAUCGUAGAUCAGCAUGCUACGGUGAAUACGUUCCCGGGUCU